rnacentral:rRNA from 1 species
GACGAACGCUGGCGGCGUGCUUAACACAUGCAAGUCGAACGGUGAAAGGGAGCUUGCUCCCUGGAUCAGUGGCGAACGGGUGAGUAACACGUGGGCAACCUGCCCCAGACUUCGGGAUAACGCUUCGAAAGAGGUGCUAAUACCGGAUACGAACUUCUUGGGCAUCCUUGGAGUUGGAAAGUUUUUCGGUCUGGGAUGGGCCCGCGGCCUAUCAGCUUGUUGGUGAGGUAACGGCUCGCCAAGGCGACGACGGGUAGCCGGCCUGAGAGGGCGACCGGACACCCUGGGACUGAGACACGGCCCAGAGUCCUACGGGAGGCAGCAGUGGGGAAUAUUGCGCAAUGGGCGAAAGCCUGACGCAGCAACGCCGCGUGAGGGAUGACGGCCUUCGGGUUGUAAACCUCUUUCAGCAGGGAAGAAGCGAAAGUGACGGUACCUGCAGAAGAAGCACCGGCUAACUACGUGCCAGCAGCCGCCGUAA